rnacentral:rRNA from 1 species
GACAGAGGAUGCAAGCGUUAUCCGGAAUGAUUGGGCGUAAAGCGUCUGUAGGUGGCUUUUUAAGUCCGCCGUCAAAUCCCAGGGCUCAACCCUGGACAGGCGGUGGAAACUACCAAGCUGGAGUACGGUAGGGGCAGAGGGAAUUUCCGGUGGAGCGGUGAAAUGCGUAGAGAUCGGAAAGAACACCAAUGGCGAAGGCACUCUACUGGGCCAUUACUGACACUGAGAGACGAAAGCUAGGGGAGCAAAUGGG